CAAACCGUAAUCAACCCCGAAAAUUUUGGCUCUGCUUUGAUCAUCUUUCUGGCUGAUUACUGUGACCGAGGUCCAGAUACCAAGAAAGUCAUAGAUUUCUUGAUUGAUUUGCCCUUGGCCUAUCCAAAUCAAAAGCAUGUGUUUCUCUGUGGCAAUCACGACCUUGCUUUUGCGGCUUUUUUGGGGGUUUUGCCGGAGCCCGGAAACGGGGUAUCGUUUAAGGAGGGAUGGAAGGAGUACGAACAGAACGAGGAGCGAGAAGGUUGGUAUAAGGGACUUGGGUACGAGAAUAUGUUUCUGCAGGGGAGGAUGUGGGCUGGGACUGU
rnacentral:misc_RNA from 1 species